AAAGUCGUAACAAGGUUUCCGUAGGUGAACCUGCGGAAGGAUCAUUAACACGUUAUCCACGUUUCAUCAAACUCGCGAACUUAUCAGUUUUGGGUUAAUAGCGGGAGGACGACUUCUUUUUUCUCUUCUCGAAAGAGAGAGGAAAAAAGUGAACUUCCUUCUUUCCCUUAAACUGUGUGUUUUGUCAUUUUUUGACAAACCUUAAUCACCCCUUUAUAAUUUUUUCUGUUUUUUUUUGGUUCUCCAGGAACCAAGAAAAAUAAAAAAUUAUAUGUGAUUUUUAUUUUUUCUAUUAAAGAUGCUUCCUAAUGGGAGCUAAUCUUUUAAUAACUAACUCAAAACAACUCUUAGCAACGGAUAUCUUGGUUCCC
rnacentral:misc_RNA from 1 species